rnacentral:rRNA from 1 species
GAUCAACGCUGGCGGCGUGCCUAAUGCAUGCAAGUCGAACGGCUCUUUCGAGAGCAGUGGCAGACGGGUGCGGAACACGUGGAUGACCGACCUGCUGGUGGGGAAUACCCGUCGGAAACGACGGCUAAGACCGCAUGAGCUCAGCUCUGGGACGACGGAGUUGAGGAAAGCCUGUGGGCGCCAGCAGCCGGGUCUGCGGCCGAUUAGCUGGUUGGUGGGGUAAUGGCCUACCAAGGCGACGAUCGGUAGCUGGUCUGAGAGGACGGCCAGCCACACG